rnacentral:rRNA from 1 species
GACGUAGGGCGCAAGCGUUGUCCGGAUUUAUUGGGCGUAAAGAGCUCGUAGGCGGCUUGUUGCGUCGACCGUGAAAACCCGUGGCUCAACUGCGGGCUUGCGGUCGAUACGGGCGGGCUAGAGUUCGGUAGGGGAGACUGGAAUUCCUGGUGUAGCGGUGAAAUGCGCAGAUAUCAGGAGGAACACCAAUAGCGAAGGCAGCUCGCUGGGACGUUACUGACACUAAGGCGCGAAAGCGUGGGGAGCGAACAGG